GACGAACGCUGGCGGCGUGCCUAACACAUGCAAGUCGAACGGAAAGGCCCUGCUUGGUUUCUUUGCUCGGGAGUCGAUCGGGUGUGUAACCCGUGGGUAACCUACCCUGGGCUUAGGGAUCCCUUCAGAGAAGUAUGACUUUCACAGAAGAGGACUAACUCCUCCUGAGAUGUGGGUGCAACGUGUCGUUGGUUGGGAAGGGAUUCGCGGUUUAUCAUCUUGUUGGUUGGGUAGUGGAUUUCCAAGAGUUUGCCGGUUAGCCGGCCUGAGAGGGUGACCGGCCACAUUGGGACUGAGAGACGGCCCAGACUCCUACGGGCGGCAGCAGGGGGGAAUAGUGCACAAGGGGCGGAAGCCUGACGCAGCAAGGCAGCGUGCGGGAUGACGGCCUUCGGGUUGUAAACCGCUUUCGCCUGUGACGAAGCGUGAGUGACGGUAAUGGGUAAAGAAGCACCGGCUAACUACGUG
rnacentral:rRNA from 1 species